rnacentral:rRNA from 1 species
GAUGAACGCUGGCGGCGUGCUUAACACAUGCAAGUCGAACGAUGAAGCCCAGCUUGCUGGGUGGAUUAGUGGCGAACGGGUGAGUAACACGUGAGUAACCUGCCCUUGACUCUGGGAUAAGCCUGGGAAACUGGGUCUAAUACUAGAUAUGACUUCUCAUCGCAUGGUGGGGGGUGGAAAGAUUUAUUGGUCUUGGAUGGACUCGCGGCCUAUCAGCUUGUUGGUGAGGUAAUGGCUCACCAAGGCGACGACGGGUAGCCGGCCUGAGAGGGUGACCGGCCACACUGGGACUGAGACACGGCCCAGACUCCUACGGGAGGCAGCAGUGGGGAAUAUUGCACAAUGGGCGCAAGCCUGAUGCAGCGACGCCGCGUGAGGGAUGACGGCCUUCGGGUUGUAAACCUCUUUCAGUAGGGAAGAAGCGAGAGUGACGGUACCUGCAGAAGAAGCGCCGGCUAACUACGUG